AUGGAGCCUGAGACCAGCCACACCCAGACCCACAACGCUGCAGAUCUGAGGGCGUCCGAGGUGGAGGUGCUGAGGUCGCACGUGGUGGACAUCAUCGGAGGGGCGGGCCGCGGGGCCCGUCGGAGCCUGGAGGACCCCGGCAAGGAGCUGCAGGAGGAGGAGGACGACGAAGGAGACGACUCGGUGUUCUACGACGACGGAGUCCCGGCUCCCCGGCCCGGGGAGGAGGAGGAGGAGGAGGAGGAGAAGAAGGAGGCCCGACCUCGACUUUGCGACGCUAGGAAACGCAGAGAGGGGCUGGUCGGGAGCGAGGGGGGAGUGGGGGGGCCGGGGCCUGGAGAGAUUGAUGCUGUUGCUUCAUCCACGCAGAUGGAGCGUCCCCAGGAGACACAACAGGACAUGAUGAAGAGCCGGCUGGAGGAACAUCAAGAACCGCAGCGCAGCCUGGCCACCGGGGACUCCAAGGAUCCCGGCGGUGGAUUCACUGAGGACAAACACACGCCCAAGGCACGCCCUGAACUCUGCACAUCCAUACCAAAAGGAGAUCUAGUGGAUGUGGAGCAGAAGGAGGAGGAGGUGGAGGGAGAAGAUAAGAAGGGGGAGGAGGAGGAGGUUUCAUCCCGUCGGCAGCAGAGAGCGGAGCCUGCAGCUGAGCCGGGGCCCGGCGGCAGAUCGAAGGAGAGACGGGCCCCCACCACCACCACCACCACGGCCGCCGCCGCCGCCAUCGCCGUCCCCGAGCCAGCUGGGGCGGAGAACCUCCCGCAGCAGAUGUCUUCUGAUGAACUCCAGAUCCCGGGAGCGAACCGGGAGGAGCCGGACCAGCUUGAGCAGCCGGACCACAACUCCCAGAGUUCCACGGGACGCCCCCAGGAACCCGGUCCUGGAUAUUCCACCCUGCCUCUUCCUAAGAAAUUGAGUCGCAGCGUCAGCGCCAAACAGGUUGCCUCGGAUGUUGAGGCCUCCGCCCCCAGAUACAACACCCUCUCCUACCGCAAGAUUCAGAGAGGCAACACCCGGCAGAAGAUCAAGGAGUUUGAGUUCAAGGGAAUGAAGCUGUGA
rnacentral:lncRNA from 1 species